CCUACGGGUGGCAGCAGUGAGGAAUAUUGGUCAAUGGCCGGAAGGCUGAACCAGCCAAGCCGCGUGAAGGACGAAGGUGCCAAGCAUUGUAAACUUCUUUUGUCAAGGGACAAACUCCGGCUCGAGAGCCUGACCGCGGGUACUUGAAGAAAAAGCAUCGGCUAACUCCGUGCCAGCAGCCGCGGUAAUACGGAGGAUGCGAGCGUUAUCCGGAUUUAUUGGGUUUAAAGGGUGCGUAGGCGGGCUGUUAAGUCAGCGGUAAAAGCCCGGGGCUCAACCCCGGCGAGCCGUUGAAACUGGCGGGCGGGAGAUGUCGAGAGGUAUGCGGAAUGCGCAGUGUAGCGGUGAAAUGCUUAGAUAUUGCGCAGAACUCCGAUUGCGAAGGCAGCAUACCGGAGGCGAUCUGACGCUGAGGCACGAAAGCGUGGGUAUCGAACAGGAUUAGAUACCCUGGUAGUC
rnacentral:rRNA from 1 species